GUGCAUGCUUCACAAAGGCAGUGAGUUUUGUUCAUCGCCGAGUCCCUAGGACCUAGAACAGAAUCUGGCACAAACUUGCUUGCCUACAACAUACAUAUCUACCCUCCCAGUGAGUAUGAAGAAAAGGUCAAAGUGUGGCAGUAUUUCCAGCCAUCACUCUUUACCCACAGACCUGUUCCAGGAAGAAAGAUCCUGAACAGAAGUGAAGUGUUCAUUGAAAAAUACACAAGACAGUGGCUCUUUCACCACCUGAGAAUUUUCAUUGUUUUUUUUCCA